GUCUACAGCCACACCACUCUGAAUAUGCCCGAUCUUGUCUGAUCUCGAAGCUAGGCAGGGUCAUACCUGGUUAGUACUUGGAUGGGAGAAAUACAAGGCAAACCUCAAAUGAAAGCCCCAUGGGAUACUAAAUU
rnacentral:rRNA from 1 species